UAGUAUCCUGAAACAUGUUAUUAUGUAUGAACAAGGUGUGGAAGUUAAACUUACUCUUGUGUUCUCUCUCUCACGAUAUCUUCAACAGUUGACUCGUUUGUUACCUUCAGGUUUUACUGCUCUGUGUUCAGUUAUGGAGUCUGUGCCCACACAGUGCAGUGGGAUUAUAAGGGUGAUGAGACAGAUAGAUCAGGACACUAACAGUUAACCUGUACAGCCGUUGUGAUCUUUACAACUCCUCAUGUUGUUCAGAAGUCAAGAAGUUGCUGUAUUGUAACGUGACAGAAAACAAGAGUGGACAAACACAGCUGUGUAAUGUCGACCCCGGGUCAUCAUGUGAGAAAACAGGAAGCACAUCAGCAGGAGGAAACGAGAUAACGGAGGACGAAACUCUGAAGAAACCAGGUUGGAUCAGGUUCAUCAUUGUGUCUGUGGGACUGGCAGUACUCAUAAUGAUUUUUGUGACGAUCAGCAUAUGGGUGAGAACUAAAGAGAAGAAAACGCAGAUGGAUCACAAUGCUGUUGAAAAUGAUGAAGGUGAAGCUUCAGUAAUCUAUGAAAACUAUGGAGGUCAUGAUGCUUCUGUCAGAUUCCAGUGAACAACAACGUCAGGAUCAAUAUCACCUGAAAAGAGAAGAAAACAUGAAGAUGAAGGAAAGACGGGCAUCAUUUUCAGUGUUUUUUAGCUGACAAAGUUUCUUCUAGUUUAACAACUUCAGAUUUCUUUAUUAUUAUAAUUUUUUAUGACUUGAUUUGUGAGUCAGGACAGUGGAUAGAGUCAGAAAUCAGGC